rnacentral:rRNA from 1 species
GUGCCAGCAGCCGCGGUAACACGUAGGGGGCGAGCGUUGUCCGGAUUUAUUGGGCGUAAAGAGCUCGUAGGCGGUUAGACAAGUCGGGUGUGAAAGCUCGAGGCUCAACCUCGAGACGCCACUCGAUACUGUUUUGACUGGAGUCCGGUAGAGGAGUGCGGAAUUCCUGGUGUAGCGGUGAAAUGCGCAGAUAUCAGGAGGAACACCAACGGCGAAGGCAGCACUCUGGGCCGGUACUGACGCUGAGGAGCGAAAGCGUGGGGAGCAAACAGGAUUAGAUACCCCCGUAGUCC